CAACGAAAUCGAUAGGCAUUCUUGAUAUCCCCUCAACUUUUCUCUGCAGAAUACUCAGGAAGGCAGUGCGAGGAAGGAAAUUUGGCAGUUCAAUCCCUCUGGAUUCCUCAAGAACACUAAUCUCCUCCAUCAGGAAGUUCCUUCUAGGAUCACUUUCAGGGCAGUUAUUAAGUUCAUUCGAGUAACUGUUGAGCAUUUCAACCAAUCUAGCAGUACAAUGCAUAUGAUGAUCAUCAAGGUACUCAUCAAACUCUCCUCUAAUUAGGAUUUUCCUGAGAGACUCCUUGGCUGAUCCGACAAUGCCCAUGAAAGCUGUCAUGACUUCAGCAGGAGAGGAAAGGGUCUUAGGCAUCCUAUUCAGCUCUGAAAUGCUUGCAUUCAGCUUUUCAUUAAUCUUUCUCACUAUAUCUGGCAAGCACCUGGCUAUUAUAAUUGCUUGAAUUUGAGUCAGUUUUUGA
rnacentral:misc_RNA from 1 species